rnacentral:misc_RNA from 1 species
GAAAUGCGAUAAGUAAUGUGAAUUGCAGAAUUCAGUGAAUCAUCGAAUCUUUGAACGCACAUUGCGCCCGGCAGCAAUCUGCCGGGCAUGCCUGUCCGAGCGUCAUUUCUGCCCUCGAGCGCGGUUCGGCCCCUAGCGGGCCGGCCGCCGCCCGGUGUUGGGGCGCUGCGGGCCCUCGUGCCCGCAGGCCCUGAAAUGAAGUGGCGGUCCCGCCGCGGCGCCCCCUGCGUAGUAGUAAAGCACCUCGCAUCGGGUCCCGGCGGAGGCCAGCCGUCGAACCUCUCUUUUGAUGGUUUGACCUCGGAUCAGGCAGGGUUACCCGCUGAACUUAAGC